rnacentral:rRNA from 1 species
GAUGAACGCUGGCGGCGUGCCUAAUACAUGCAAGUCGAGCGAACGGACGAGAAGCUUGCUUUUCUGAUGUUAGCGGCGGACGGGUGAGUAACACGUGGAUAUCCUACCUAUAAGACUGGGAUAACUUCGGGAAACCGGAGCUAAUACCGGAUAAUAUUUUGAACCGCAUGGUUCAAAAGUGAAAGACGGUCUUGCUGUCACUUAUAGAUGGAUCCGCGCUGCAUUAGCUAGUUGGUAAGGUAACGGCUUACCAAGGCAACGAUGCAUAGCCGACCUGAGAGGGUGAUCGGCCACACUGGAACUGAGACACGGUCCAGACUCCUACGGGAGGCAGCAGUAGGGAAUCUUCCGCAAUGGGCGAAAGCCUGACGGAGCAACGCCGCGUGAGUGAUGAAGGUCUUCGGAUCGUAAAACUCUGUUAUUAGGGAAGAACAUAUGUGUAAGUAACUGUGCACAUCUUGACGGUACCUAAUCAGAAGGCCACGGCUAACUACGUG